rnacentral:lncRNA from 13 species
GACCACCUCCCCCAUGACUCCCUCAUCCAAGACCACCUCCCCCAAGACGCACUCACUCAAAACCCCCUCUCCCAAGACCCGCUCCCCCAAGAAGCCUCAGACUAGAGUUCUUCACAGAUUCACCCAGGAUCCGAGGAUCCGAGAUCCGAUCCAGGAUCAGAGCCCAUCUAUGCAGCCCACCUCCAGCACCUCCAGCAACAACCCAGAAGGGAGACCUGCAGCCUCAACCUCAAUUCUGGGCAGGAGUUUAGAGCUAAAAAUUAGUCAAGGUUUCCAGAAACCAGACACACCCAGGCCAAAGAGCUACUCCCCCAAGAGCAAACCAACAGGGAUUUCACUGAACUAUAGGGGUACUGGUACUCCUUUCCGGGGAAGUGAGGGGAAUCUAACAACUACCCCCACUUCUAGGGGCCUGGCAAUCCCCCAUGACUGUCCAUCUCAGACCAGGAGUUCUCUGAGUAAAGCCUCAUAUUCUGCCAAAUUACCAUGGGAUGGAAAGAGGGAGAGAGAGAGAGAGAGGGACAGGGAGAGAGAGAGGGACAGGAAGAGAUGGGAGAGAGAGAGGGAGAGAUGGGAGAGGGAAAGGUGUCCACCCUCACAGAGACACCCUCACCCAGCACGGGGCCCAAUUCCACAGCCAAGCCGGGAGGAUCAUCCUAAAGAAUGCUUUAGAAAGAAAGACAAAACUACUAUAGGACAGGAGGACUUUAGAACUAAAGUCAAAAUACCAUGGGCACCAACUCAAAAACCCUCUAGCUCUCACAAGAGUUGGCGAAAUGUACCCUCACCCUGCCAGAAUCCUCCACCUGCGAGAAAUGGCCCCCAGUCAUACUCCAAAAAUAUCAAAGGCGCGCACUCACCCUCAGCUCAGACUAAAUCUAAAGUACCAGGGGAGAAGACAGACUCUCAGCACAUCAGCUCCCCCCCUACAACACAGAAGGUCCCUCAGGAGUCAGUGUCCCCUCCCCUGUCCCCCCGCUUCAGACCCGGCCCCAGCAGUCCGGAGCUCAUCCAUGCCUUUGUGAGUGCCAUGGGCUAUCUGCUCGGUGUGCCACCCACCUCCAUCCCUGGCCUCUGCCCUUCACCUGAAGACCCUGGUACGUCCUCCACCACUGACCCAUCAGCUUUUAACUCAGACCCCAUCCAGCCCCCCUGGACUGAAGAACUACGACUCAUCCGGCAAAGACUCAGUGAGCCUGGCUUAGGGCUCAACCCCCAGCCUCCCGACCACACCCAACCAGCCUCCAGACCAAAGGACACACACACAGGACAGAGGGAAGAGAGGCCUGCACAAUCAAUGGCACCAUCACUGAGAAAGAAUACAAAGAUGUGAGAGGAGAUAGGAUGAAGAUGAGGAUACUGUAGCAUGCUACACUGCAGAGCUGCAAGGAGUCAGAGAGCAGCUGUUCAGACAGGACUUGACUGACUGACUGGUGGAAUCAGAAGAUGUUCACGUUAACAGGCUGAACAUCUGCUCAUACACCUGGGUUGUGUUUCUAACUCUUUCUCUGGAUAUAAUUAUCUAAUAAAUACAGAGUCAAAUACUUUAUGUACAUAUUCAUUUGCUGUAAGUACUGGCAGUUCAGCUCUUUGAAUUGAUGAUUUCAAUGCUUGUGAUACUGGUUUCAUUUUAGAUGGAUUUGAUCUUGCUUUCAUUUUGACAAGCAGUUAGCUGAAAAAUACAGGAAGCUGGGCAUGUUGAAGUUUGCACAUGUGACCACAGGAGGGCAGUCUCAUGCCAACCUAAUGCAAAUCCUAGUCAUAAUGAAGGGAGAAAUGAAAUCUAAUGUACAGAUUGUCAAAUUGUCAAAACAAAUGUACAGAGCACUGUGCUUUUGAAUCAUUUCUAUGUGGAUAUUGAACAUCAAUAAAACUUUUGAGUUAUGGAGGAGCCUAAAUCUAUAAGACAUUUUGUUUAGGUUUGAUUGGAUGAUAAGUUAACACGACACGCUGAUAUGCUUACCCUACAGCACAGACAAACUCUUGUCUGAGGUUUCUUUAUUA